rnacentral:tRNA from 1 species
GCGCCCUUAGCUCAAUUGGAUAGAGUGUCUGGCUUCGGACCAGAAGGUUGAAGGUUCGAGUCCUUCAGGGCGCACCA